UCACCAUCUGAGGACAUAGGAAGACAGUGCAAUCUAGGAGAAAGCAGGCUCUUACCAGACACCAAAUCUGUCAGCACCUCAAACGGGAAUUUUCCAGCCUCUAAAACUGUGAAAUCUUGUGUCGGAUCACCAUGCACCUCUUCAGGAUAGCGGAGAAGAACACAUAAUCUCCGUAGAGAGCGUGGAUUCCAGAAGAAAGGGCAGAGCUGCACAAUCCCCAGUGCUUCAUGCUAAUCUCACCAAUCAAUUUUGCACUGCUGUUGAAUUUGUCUUCAUUCAUCUUGGGAACCAAUGAUCGAUACAGCCUCUUCUACAAGUGACUGCUUAAGCAAAAAGAGGAAGAUUCAUGGGAGCUUUAAGAACAGAGUGGUAUCUCUGGAUAAUUUCAGCCAAUUUCAGUUGGUUGUCUAUCUUCUCUUUUAUCUUCUGUAGGUUUUUUAGUAAACUAAACUUGACUUAUUUGCUUUGUGAAGAAACAUGUUCCUUCAGCUUCAUUCCAGUGCAGCUCUUCUCAACUGUCUCGAACAAUGACAUUUAACUGGCUUUCAUUCCUUCAGUUUGAGACAGACCUCUAACCACUAAAACUGAAUUUUCAAAAUAAACUUCUGAUUUUAUCUGCCUUCACCUAAGUGCCCUGGCUCUUUUAGUACCAUUCCCUUCCUCACACAUCAUGGAACGUCCAAACUAAAUUGCCUUGAGGACUAUGAAUUUGUCAAGUUUGCUUUCCCUAUUUGUUGAAAAUAAUGUCAAUAUUUAUGUGAUUAAUAUAUUUUAGUUAUUUAUAUGCUUGGUGUGAGUAUCUUGGUUAGCAAAUGUUUCAAUUACUUAUGUGCUUGGCAUUAGUAUGGAUAGCAUUCCAUAUUUUGACUUAAGUAUUUUUACAAACUUCACCUAUUUCUUGUUCCAUAUGCAUUUUACCUGGUGUAUUGGCCAAAGAUCAGUACAUAGCUCUCAUUGGGAAAUUUUCUUUUAGCUUUUUUCCACCAAAGGAAAAUUCUGAAGAAAGUUGACACUAGAUCUGUGUACUUCCUUCUAACAUGCUUAGGCACUUUUAAGGGAAACUCAAAGCUAAAAAUUCUCUUUAAUAAUUUUUUUCUUAUAAGUAAACGAGUAGUAAUUUUGUUGUACUCCACAACUUUCUAACACUUAUUUCAUUUUUUUUUGAGUUUUUAAUUUUGUAAUCUCCUUGGGCUUACUAGUAACCUAUGGAAAGUUUCUCAUUAUUUCCUUUUGAUAAAUGGAGAAUAUAUUGAACUCGUUUUAUAGUUUAUAUAAUAAAAAUUGUAUAAUUUUCUUUCUAAUGUUUUUCAUGAUUGCCUUAAACCUACUAAUAUUUAGAUAUAAGAUAUUUCUAUGGACUUUGUUUUUUUCCAGUAAUAAUUGACAGGAUUAUUUGAAUCAAACUGCCAAUAGAAAAAAAGAAAAAUUCUAGAUAAAAUAUUAAAAACAGAUCUAAACAGCAUGGGGUGGCUAAACUGAUGAUAGAAAGAGGCUGGGCCAAAACAUGAGGGUAAACUUUAGCUAGAGAGAUACAUUUUAAACCAAAAAAAACAAAGCAUUUUGUCUUGAGGGCAUUUACCCAUAGUUUACAACGAGGUUCAAAGUGGGAUGAAAAUUCAGCAUUUUAGGAAACCUCUUGACAAUAACUUGGAAAUAAAAUAACCACUCUCUUUUAAAGAUGAGCAAGAAUUAGAUACUCUUAUCUUAUUCUCCCAAACCUAAAGUUAUAGAAGCUGAGCAAAGCAGGUGAAAUGAAGAUAAACCAAGAACCUAUGGCACUACAUAUGAAUGUUCUAAAUGCCCCAAUUUAAUGACAACCAGUCUCUUAUUGGAAAAAAACAAUACCAACAACAUGGUACUUAGAAGAGACAAAUAUAAAAUACAAGAGUAAAAGCAAUGGAUUAAAAAUGAUAUAUUAUGCAAACUGUAUUUUCAAGCACUCACAGAAAAUCUACCACAAAUUGAAUAUGCAUAUAAGGAAAAAGAAUGGAACCCACAUACCAUUCUGGUGAAUAGCGCCAGUCAAUUUUGCCACUUUGGAAAAUCGAUUGGUAUGUUAAAUAUAUUUGAAGUUGCACAUACCCUAUGGCCUAAUAAUUAUGUUUGUAAUAUUCAUAAGUAUACAGGCUUUUAAAAUUCACUCAUAUGUGCAUUUGGAUGUUUAUAUGAGAAAAUUAACAGGAGCACUAAAGUAACCAGAAACUUUAAACAACUCAAACAUUCAUCAACAGUACAAUGAGAAAAACAAAUUGCCCGGGCGCGGUGGCUCACGCCUGUAAUCCCAGCACUUUGGGAGGCCGAGACGGGUGGAUCACGAGGUCGAGAGAUCGAGACCAUCCUGGUCAACAUGGUGAAACCCUGUCUCUACUAAAAAUACAAAAAAUUAGCUGGGCAUGGUGGCGCGUGCCUGUAAUCCCACCUAAUGGGGAGGCUGAGGCAGGAGAAUUGCCUGAACCCAGGAGGCAGAGGUUGCGGUGAGCCGAGAUUGCGCCAUUGCACUCUAGCCUGGGUAACAAGAGCAAAACUCCGUCUCAAAAAAAAAAAAAAAAAAAAAAAGAAAGCAAAUUAUGGAAUAUUCAUGUAAUGAAAUAUUAAGACAAUGAAGAUGAACAAACUGCAAGUUAAGUGAUCACAUUUUGCAAACAAAAGUGAGAAAAACAAAAGCUAAAAACCCAAAAUAAUAAGAUUUAUUUAUGUUUAUAUAAAAUUGAAAAGCAGAGAAAAUCAAAGUAGGAGUCAGAAACCAUGGCCCCUGGGUGAUUACAGAUACAUUCACACUUUUGCCUAUCAUUCUAUGGCUAUUUUUCUACUAUAAUAGCAGUGACACAGUAACUGUGACAGAGACCCUAUGACCUGCAAAGACUAAAAUCUUUCAUAUCUGACGUUUGUGGAAAAUGUUUGUCAGUCUUGAAAUUAAAUUACCAUUUAGGAAUGGAAAUGUAAGUGCUAAUAUUUAAAAUAAAACAAAGAACAUGGAAAUAA